UACGUAGGGUGCAAGCGUUAAUCGGAAUUACUGGGCGUAAAGCGUGCGCAGGCGGUGAUGUAAGUCAGAUGUGAAAUCCCCGGGCUCAACCUGGGAACUGCAUUUGUGACUGCAUCGCUGGAGUGCGGCAGAGGGGGAUGGAAUUCCGCGUGUAGCAGUGAAAUGCGUAGAUAUGCGGAGGAACACCGAUGGCGAAGGCAAUCCCCUGGGCCUGUACUGACGCUCAUGCACGAAAGCGUGGGGAGCAAACAGG
rnacentral:rRNA from 1 species